rnacentral:rRNA from 1 species
GAUGAACGCUGGCGGCGUGCCUAAUACAUGCAAGUCGAGCGAAUAGACGAGGAGCUUGCUCCUCUGACGUUAGCGGCGGACGGGUGAGUAACACGUGGAUAACCUACCUAUAAGACUGGGAUAACUUCGGGAAACCGGAGCUAAUACCGGAUAAUAUAUUGAACCGCAUGGUUCAAUAGUGAAAGACGGUUUUGCUGUCACUUAUAGAUGGAUCCGCGCCGCAUUAGCUAGUUGGUAAGGUAACGGCUUACCAAGGCAACGAUGCGUAGCCGACCUGAGAGGGUGAUCGGCCACACUGGAACGGAGACACGGUCCAGACUCCUACGGGAGGCAGCAGUAGGGAAUCUUCCGCAAUGGGCGAAAGCCUGACGGAGCAACGCCGCGUGAGUGAUGAAGGUCUUCGGAUCGUAAAACUCUGUUAUUAGGGAAGAACAAAUGUGUAAGUAACUAUGCACGUCUUGACGGUACCUAAUCAGAAAGCCACGGCUAACUACGUG